GCAUCUCAACCACUAAGUUUACUCCAGACCUGCCAGCCAUCCUUCGAUCCAAAGCGCAGCAUCACUGCUCCCACUGAGUGCAAUGCCGUUCCCACUUUAGAGUACACACCGCUGUGCACAGCGCACACACUGCACACGCAAAGUCAGCUGAUCUCAUCUGAUGAAGAUUUGCUCCUUGAUCAAGUGAAUUUGUCCGGAUUUUUGGCACGAGUGGCGUCGGAUCAGCACCGCAGCUGGAUGGUCCAAUUUACAUACCCAGCGUAGCUGAUAUUCACCAGAAUAAUUUACUAAAAUUAUAUGCACUCCUGUUAUUAAGUCCAGUUCAGUCUGUUAAUCUUGAUAACCGUUUCAAACGAACGUUAAUAGGUGUGUUGCUAAGCCUAAUAACUUAAAUAACAAGCUUGAAAUUUAGCCGUUCCAUUUUCCACUUCAUUGUUUUUUCUCUGUACUGUAAAUCUUCUGUCUAAAUCUGAGGCUGCUGUUCUGAGAAUGAGCUUUUUCUGAAUAAAUCAGUUAAGAAAGCUGUGAUGAA